UCGUGAGUCUAAAAUGCGAAGAUUUAGAAAUACUUAUUUCAAGAUUUACAAGAUUAUGUGAAUACAAAUUUGGUAUCGAACAUUUGAAAAAGACAAAUAAAAAAAAAACACUAUGACUUUAGUGAAGUUUCAACAGGAUUGGACAUUUCAGAUAAACUAGGAACAUUUGAGAAAAAUAAAGAAAAGAAAUCUUAAGGGAAUGGACAUUUCAGGUAUACUAGGAACAUUCGAGAAAAAUAAAUAAAGGAAAUCUUAUAGGAAAUCCUUAAAAAUUGGAAACAGGACCUUAUAGCAUCCUACACAGUAGGAAGGCUAGGAAAAGGUAUUCAUUCUGGUUUAUACGUAGCGGGCGUACGGUCAUUUCUUUUCUAAAAAAAUAUAUUUCGUUAAUAUCAAAAUUUGUAUUUCUAAUUUCAAUGCUAAAUUUGUGCGCCUACAUUAUUAUAAACUCACGUGAAAUUUUUAAUUUGUGCAGAAUUUGAUACGAGUAUAAGCCCCUUUUGUAUUACAACGUGCUUAGUGAACAAUAGCGUUAGUUCGUUAACGAAUACAAUUGUGAUUUUUUGAAUCGAAAUAAGUGUAAAGGAUAUUUAAAAAGGUUAAAAAAAAGUAAUAAUUAAAAUUCGUGAAAUUUAUUUCUUUAUAACGUGUAGAAGAAAUAAGAUUUUACAUAGGAUUAAAAAUCAGUGGCACGUGAGCGGUUAGUAGCUAACGGGUUGUAACUAACCGGAAGCCGGAAGUGGUGUUGUUGUUGGUUGACUAGGAGGGUGAAAAGGAAAGAGGUGGAGGACUCCCCCCUCCACCCCCUGAGUGCAACGAUAUAACGCGUGUGUGUUGUCUCUCUCCAAAAGUUUUCCCCUUCUCUUUCUCUUCCACGUGACCAACAUAUGUGGGUUCCUUCUUCGGUUAUAGCAAAGUUUAUAUGAGAAGGUAGAGUAUCGAAAAGGGAAAGGAAAGGGAAGAGAAGAGAAGGAAAGGGAAAGAGCGUUGUGUGCACGUGUAUGCGUGUGUAUAUUUGCACGUAUGUGCAUUAUUUGUAUAUUUGUGUGAGAGAGAAAAGCUCCCUUCGAGCGAGCGCUGCCACAAGCCAGCUGAUGUUUUCUGCCGGCUUUACUUCCCUUCUUCAGUUUCUCUUGGACCGUGCCUUCGAGAUAAAGCUCAAGCUACGGGUUCCCUCGAGUUGGUUUCUCAGACGUCGAUCGGACGACCUUGACCUUUGCGAACGAGGUCUAUUGAUAAGGAGUCAAAUUAUACCAAUAAUUUCUCACUAUUAAGAUGAUUCCAGAUUUAGAUAAUCCAGAAUUUAUUCCUAUGCCUAUAAUAAGGGACAAGAAUGGGUCAAGACAAUGGGAUAAUAGUUUGGCUAAAAGUUCGCAGCAUAAAGAUCAUCAAUCUCCUAUGGCAUGGUCCAGAUUGGAAUGGCUUUUAUCAGUUUUCAAGGCUAACGGGCAAAAGUGCAACAUGCAGACCAUCAUCGAAUCAACUUUUCGCGGAGAAGAUUUAUUUUAUAAUAAUGAUACUCAAUCACAAGAAAAAUAUUCGCGACCUUCUUCAUCCUAUUCAUCUUCUUCUACAUCUUCGUUUUCGUAAUAUUUAUUAUUGCAACACUCAUUUAGAUUUAAUAACUUAUCCUCGAAUUAUUCAGUCAUUAUUUUUUAGCACUAAGUAUUUCUGAAAACAAAGUAUUACCACUAGAAUCACCAUCUUUGUCACUUUCAUCCUCUGAUGAAUCAUUCUCAUCUGACCAAAGUCAAUUUUGACGUUUUCAAAUUUAUCAUAUAGCGUUACUUAAGAUACAAAAGACUAGUAAAGAUUUUUUUUAUUAUUGCUACCACCCAAACUGAUAUUAAAUGAUUGUAUUAUGCUCGUAUAUUAUAAAAUCCAAAGAAUAUAUAAGUUAAUAGUUGUUUAGUGAAAGAUCUGCAACACGAAUAAUACUCGUGAUUAGUAUAAAUGAGUAGAAGAAAGUCUCUGACGUAUGUGACUAAACCAAAAACGUUUCUUUGUAAUAUUUAUAAAUAGCGGACCAAUUUUUUUGCAGUAGCAAUUAAUAUUUUCUUUAUAUUUGUAUAUAUUUGUCGGAUGCAUUGUUUAUUUUGUUGUAUUUCUACCAAAUGUUGUUGCACUUCUAGUCAAGUAGACCAUGCAAUAAAAUUAAAUUCUUUAGUAUAAAGAGAAAGAUAUUAUGUAUUUAAGAUUAUCAUUUUGUAUUGGCAUUAAUUGCUGUUACAAAAAAAAAAAUAAAAACGUGCGCGUUUAAUUAAUUACAAACGAUAAAUAUCUCGAGAAAAAUACUCGUGACACAGGAUGUAAUAGAUUAGGAUAGAUUUUUAUCACUCGUUGAAUGUCGACAAAAUGUCAUGCAGUUGUCUGGAUAAAUUUUUUUUACCAAAGAAUUGUAUUCUAUUUGCAUUUAAAAUACAAAAUAAUUUUUAAGAUGUUUACAUUAACAUUAAACGCUACGUGACCCGCUUUUACAUGUACGAUUUUAAUAAUAUGUUGUUAUGUUGUGUAAUUUGGUAGUCAUGGACCAAAUAUAAAUAAAUCUGUAAAAAAAUAUGACGUUGUAUAAAUAGAUUUAAAAAAAAAUUAUUUCAACAUUUUAUUUUGCUGCUAUUCCUCAUUACGUUUUCAUUAUAUGAAUUUUAUUUUCCAUAUGACCCAAAAGCAUUUAAUUUAAAUACUUUAAAUAUGAACAAAUUGUGUGAUUCUAAAAUUCCGCUGGUUUCUGCAAGUUUUCUAUUCAUUUCAUCGAUGAAUGACCUUUUUCACGUCGUUCUACCACAUAUGCCAACAUUAUAGAAAACAUUUGUUACAGUUUGAACACAUAUAUGUUGUUGAAUGUGAGAAUAUAUUCAUAUAUUUUUUUUAAACGUAUAUAACAUUAAAUCGCUAUACUUUCUAACAACUCGAAUAAAUGUAACAUAGUUUUAUCGCGUUUAUCGAUAUAAAUCUUUUCCUUUUUGUUUUGUUUUUACCUUCUGUACAAAAUAAAAUCGUGCUAAAUCCCAAUUAGAGAAUUUUUAUUCGCAAUUAUAUUACAAAAAAAAAACAUGAUCGUUCUCUACGACCUAAUCGAAUGAACACCUACGCGCCAAUU